ACGCUGCCAUGCGGAAGACCAGGCCACAGCGUGCUGUUAAAUUCACCGUCCCUGCGUGGCAUCGUUCAGUGAUCGUGAAUGUUAUUCACGGUAUAUAAUAUUAAUAUUUGAGGCUAGAUUACACCCCUAAUGCUAAGGACCCAUCGAGACCGUUCUUCCCGAAGGGGGACCGACUGCGCCACGGACGGACUGGGCGAGCGGAACUGACGUGUGGCUUUUAGUAAACAUCCGGUCCUUUAACUCGGGGCUGCGUAAUAACCACCGAGCGCUUGGAAGACAAACGAUGUCAUCUUCCUUCUGUCAGGAGGAUCCAAGUGAAGCUACAGGAGUUUCAUUAACGUCAACAACUUGGACCGAACACUUUGUUUUGCUUGAUGAAGAGCAGGAAGGGCAGCCUGGAGAGAAAGAGAAGCCGGGUUGAGCCCACUACCAUCAUCCACGUACCACGAGGAAGAUGAGGGAGAGAAAUGAUCCUACCAUUAAAGAGGAAGGACUGAUGCAUUUACUGAGACGGGACGUGAGGG